AUUGAACGCUGGCGGAAUGCUUUACACAUGCAAGUCGAACGGCAGCACGGACUUCGGUCUGGUGGCGAGUGGCGAACGGGUGAGUAAUACAUCGGAACGUGCCCAAUCGUGGGGGAUAACGUAGCGAAAGCUACGCUAAUACCGCAUACGAUCUAAGGAUGAAAGCGGGGGAUCGCAAGACCUCGCGCGAAUGGAGCGGCCGAUGGCAGAUUAGGUAGUUGGUAGGGUAAAGGCCUACCAAGCCGACGAUCUGUAGCUGGUCUGAGAGGAUGAUCAGCCACACUGGGACUGAGACACGGCCCAGACUCCUACGGGAGGCAGCAGUGGGGAAUUUUGGACAAUGGACGCAAGUCUGAUCUAGCCAUUCCGCGUGCAGGAUGAAGGCCCUCGGGUUGUAAACUGCUUUUGUACAGAACGAAAAGGCUCUGGUUAAUACCUGGGGCUCAUGACGGUACUGUAAGAAUAAGCACCGGCUAACUACGUG
rnacentral:rRNA from 1 species